GUGAAAACAUUCCUGGUACCUCCCCUGGCAUUCAGGGCUGCUCCGGGAGGCUCAGGAGGUGACUCUUCUGCCAUCAGCUGUGCCUGGCACAGGCAGUGCCCCUGGUUUUGUCCCUCUCGUUCCUUGCUGAAUCUGGGGCUCUGGCUCCUCAUGUGCAGUGCUCCCAUCACGGUGUGAGGGAGGCCCCAGCAGUGUCAGCCACGUCUCCCUAGGGAGAAAAAGCUCCCAAACUGGGCUCAGAUCCAGUUUGAGAUCAGUUCUGGGAGCAAAAGGGAGACACUGACAACCACAAGUGGCUUUAUCCUGCCUGGACCUGCACUGGCACCGGCACAGCUUUGGUGCCUCACCCACCCCAGGUCCUCACUAUCAACAGGACUCCCGGUGCAAGGAAACUGUUGCAUCACUGUUGUUGUGGCAACUGCAGCCAGAGCAUCCCUGGAGAGCUUUGGCCCAGAGAGCUGGCAGGACAGAUGGAAAGGACAGAUGUUGCUCCAUCCUGUGCAAGGGAACUCCCUGGUGCCAUGCAGGAUUGACCCCAAGAAAUUAAAGUGAGGCUUGGAAAAUUGCAGGUGGGGCAUUUUGCACAAGGGAAAGGGAAGUUGUGCACGGCCAUCAGAGCUGACUCCAUCCCUGGGGCUAUGGAUCACCAGCAUCCUGCCCUGCCUCUACCUUGGCUCCCCUUGGGAUGUUCCAUCUGACGGGAACAAAGUUGCCUGCAGUAACACCUGCCUCGUGAUCCAGCUUGUUAUUGUCAGCUAAAUUGGGUCAAUACUGAAGAGGAGCUGCUGCUGGAAGGCAGGUUCACAGCAGAGGAGCUGAUGUGCACAUCAAGCCCCUGUGCCAAGCACUGGCCCUGCCUGAGGGUCAAUGGACACACGAACAUGAUAGAAGCUGACCCCAGGGUCCAAGGGGGGUAACCCCAGUGUGGGAUGAGCUCCAAAGGUGCCUUUGCACGUAGUGUGUGCACUGAGUGUCAGAGCACUGCUUGUGCAAAGUGUUCUUGUGCAUAAUGCCCCCCAGACCUGCACAGUCAGGACCCCCAUUCUGUGUGGGAGCAGAGCUGGCAUGUGGGAGCAUCAGGGCAGGAGGGGCUGUGCCAGCUGCCUGUGGGCACCAGCUGCCCAUCGUACACUCCUGACAGGGAAAAAUCUCUUUUCCAGUGCUACAGGAGCAGAGUUGUGUGCACAGAGCUGUGCGGAGCUUCCCCAUUCCUCCCUAUCCAAACUGGUUCAUCUGGUGGUGGCAAAAAAAGUUUCAGCUCUGAAUUGUGCCAGCCUGGGGCCAGGAGCUGCAGCCAGGGGAUGCAGCAGGACCAGCACACCUGGGGAGGAGAUGGGAACCUCUACCCCACAAACCCCCACACUAGAAAAAUUCAACUGCUGCCAGCUUGGAUUCUUGAUUCUCUGGAAGGGCCAAUGCUGCAGGUCAUGGUCUGGAGUCCCUGGAAAAUCAUCAGCCUCUGGAACCCUGGCAGCACUUGGUGUGUGCUGGUGCAGAGCAGAGAGGAGGUGCAGGAGAGCACAGGAUGUAAAACUCAGCAAAAUCAGUGAAAAGAUGUCCUGAUUCAGGCAGGUGCUUCAAAAAUGACCCACUCCCCACUACCUGCCAGGAGACAUCAGCUCCAGCACUGAACCCCUGCAUGGUGGCCAGAUGGCUGGGAUUCAUCUGGGAAAUCCUGGAAGCUUCCAUUACUCUUUAUUAGCAGCCCAGGAGCCUGCUUGGGCCACACAAGGACUUGGACGACAAACUGAUUAAAGACCAACCUAACGAACUCAAAGAGAAUUCUUUAAAUGGAGCCCGCUGUGCCUUGGAGAACUCCUGCCAUGUCUAUUUAUUUAAAUUUAAUGGAAUUUUUGUGGUAAGCUAAUUAAAAAUGAAUUGAUUAUUUAA